rnacentral:rRNA from 1 species
UACGUAGGGGGCUAGCGUUGUCCGGAUUUAUUGGGCGUAAAGAGCGUGUAGGCGGCCUGGUAGGUCUGCUGUGAAAACUCGAGGCUCAACCUCGAGAUGUCGGCGGAAACCAUCUGGCUAGAGUCCGGAAGAGGAGAGUGGAAUUCCUGGUGUAGCGGUGAAAUGCGCAGAUAUCAGGAAGAACACCGGUGGCGAAGGCGGGUCUCUGGGCCGAUACUGACGCUGAGGAGCGAAAGCGUGGGGAGCGAACAGG